rnacentral:rRNA from 1 species
AUGGAGGAGGACGGCCCUAGCCGGAGCGGCCUGCCGCCGGUCGGGGAGUGCGAAUGGAGGGAGGAGCUGAGGCAGCAGCAGUCCCAGGUCGAGGCGCUGCGCGACCGGCUCGUGGAGGUCAAGGUCGGGAUGCGGCGCUCCGAGGACGAUUCCGGCCGGGAGCUCGAGCACCUGUGCCGCAGGGUCAAGACCAUCGCCACCCUGCUGGCCUACCUCAAAUCCAAGGCCAGGAUCAUGGCGAUACCGCACCUCGCGCACACGUCCUGCGGGAUCAGGAACCAGGACGGCGUGGGGUUCGUCGACAGGCAUGGGGUGCCCCUGGCCGAUUGGUCCAAGGCCACUGACUCCGCUUCCUGUGGGGGAGGUUCGGAUGACAGGACGGCGGCAGAGGGUAGCGGCGUUCAGAAAAAUGGCGAUGCCGUUGAGGGGGAUGGAGAUGUCGAUGAUAUUCUCAAGUCCAUCCGCGUGGUGACCGAUGUCAUGGAGUCUCUUGUCAAGAGAGUGAUUGUGGCCGAGUCCGAAACUGCGAAUGAGAAAGAAAAGGUGAGGAUUGGGUUGGAAGAGAUCAGGAGGAAGACCAUUCAGGUCGAGUCCAUGUCGGUCAAAGUCGAGGAGAUGGAGAAGUUUGCGGUGGGUACGAAUGGUAUGCUGAACGAGAUGAGGCAGCGGGUUGAAGAUAUGGUGCUGGAGACUACACGGCAGAGGCAGCGCGCCGCUGAAAAUGAGCAGGAGCUUAGUCGUGUGAAGAACGACUUUGAGUCGCUCAGAACUUAUGUCAGCACACUUGUUAGUGUCAGAGAAACUCUUCUUUCAUCGGAGAAGCAAUUCGAGACAAUGGAAAAGCUUUUUGACAGCAGUUCUGUGCCUCAAUCGUGUCCCAAAUGUUUAUUGAUAUUUAGUGGUCAAGAAGAUGCAGAUAGACUUGGGCUAGUCGCAAGGACCAACCAGCUCGAGACCGAGAAAGCACAGAAAGAAGCCGAAGUCCAGAAGGUGAUGGAGGAAAAUGUGAGGCUACGUGCCAUGGUCGACAAGAAGGAUGCACAGCUCCAGGCGAUGAGUGAGCAGUGCAAGUUCAUGGCUCUGAACCGUCCAAACUAG